UAGAACUACCGCUCCGAUUCUCCUGUACGCGGCCUCUGGGACGCUUCUCCCGCAAGCAGACCAAUUUUUUCCCGAUACCCCUCACCCCACCGACACCUGCCGUCCGUUCCCCAUGCCCGUCCGCCGCCGACCCUGUCCGCCGCUGGCUCCAGCCACCUCCAUCCGGCUUCGGCCGCCACCCUCCACCGGUUCCCUGCCCAGAUCCAGCCCGGCUCCUCCCUGUUGAGCAGAUCCUGUCCACCUGCCUGCUGCUGUUCUUGUAGGAGUUCCCAUCCGCCUGCUGUUGUUCCUGCUCGCAGGCAUUGGCCAUCAGAUCCCUUCCGCCUGCUGUUGCUACUGCCCGUAGGUGCUGGCUCCCCUCAGGUGCUGCUGUUGAGAAGAAGGUGCUGCUGUUGAGACGGAUUGCACAAGAGCAAGAGCAAGGUAAAAUUGGUAUGAAUUUUUUGAUGGAUUGUGCAAAUGGCAGAUUGUGAAUUGCAUAGUAGUACUUCUUGAUUAAUGACGCUCUCAGUUUAUGGUCAGUAAACAAGAUUCUAGAUUUAUAUUUAAUUGUACAGUACUAUAAUCAAAUUUUAGAUGGAAAAGUCAUCAAAGAUUGUGGCAAAAUGGGAUUCAUUUGCCGUGAAAGCUUUCAAUGACAUUUGUGUGGAAGAAGUACUUAUUUUCAAUUGGCCGCAACAAUGUUUGAAUGUGGUGGGAUAUGCAAAUCUUGUCAGAAAGUUUUAUGAGCGUACCAAGAUGCCAUAAAAUGAGACUCAAAUGAAGAACAGGUGGGAUAUAUUGAAAAAAAUGUUUACCCAAUGGAAGGUUUUGAACUUGAGAGCAACCGAAUUGGGAAGAGAUCCUGUUACUAGUUGUAUUGUGGCUGAUAAUGAAUGGUGGGAAUAACAAAAUGCGGCUAUGCAAGGUUGUAUCCGGUUCAGAACAGCCCCGCUUGAGUAUAAGGAUUAGAUGUGAAUCAUGUUUGAAUCUGUCAUUGUUACAAAUGAGAAUUCAUAUGUUCCAUGUGGUGAUGGCAAUGUUGAUGUUGAUGAACAUGAUGUUGCUGAUGCCGGGGGUGACAUUGAUAAGGAGGCACUAAGGCCCCAACAAGUUCUAAGUGGAGGGCUGCAAAAAGGCCAGCUCCUAGUUCCCCUAAAGGAAAGAAGAAGAAGAUUUUUAGAGACCAAUGCAUGAAGCAUUUGGUCGAUGCAUGAGUUGAAAGUUCAAAGUAGUAAAUAUUUAGCCACUUAACAAGUUGUUGAUCACGUUAGAGAUGAGAUUGGAAGUAUGUUGGAUCAAGUCAUCAAGGAUGAGGCUGAGGAGGGGAGUGAUGAACACUUCUAUGCCACAUAACUUCUUUAAAAAAAGGAGAACCGUGAUGUGUUCAUUACAUUGAAGACAUCAAAUGGAAGGUUGAAUUGGCUGAGGAGGGCUUGGGAGAUAAGGAAGAAGCACUAGGGUCUUGCAUUAGUGUGCCAUUUCUCUUUUGUUUCUUUUAUGUUCCUAAGUAUGCUGUGUGAGACUAUGUACCUUUUAUCAGUUGUGUUGUACCAAUAAAAAUUCAUCUAAUUAUCUGGUUAGUACUUUUUGACAGGCUUGCAUUUUUUUAUGAGUACCUCUAGUGAAUGUGAAGGCAACAAUGACUCUGUUCAUAGCAUGGAUAUCGAUGAAUUUGAUGAUACUGAUGAUGAUUACACAGUGGCAAUGCUUGAUCUGGACUACAUGGCAUCAUCUAGUAUGAACAAGAAGAAGAUUACUACUACGAUACCAAGGAUGACUGGAAUACAGUGGGUUGAGUUGCAACUAUAAGAUUAAGUGGAGUGCUUUAACAUGUUCAGAAUGAGGAGGUCAGUUUUCUUAAGCCUUCAUGACACCUGGGUACAAGAUUAUGGAUUGAGAUCAAGUAGAUAAUUUUGUAGCAAGGAAGCAUUAGGAAUGUUUCUAUGGGCUUGUGGUGCACCUCAAUCUUUUAGGCAAUGCAAGAAUAAUUUUCGUUGCUCAUUAGAAACUGUCAGUAGGAAAUUUGAAGAGGUUCUUGAAUCUAUCAUGAGAUUAGCUGUUGACAUUGUGAGACCUAAGGACCCAAAAUUUUCUAUUGUUCAUCGUAAAUUACAAGAAGCAAGGUUCUGGCCUCAUUUCAAAGAUUGCAUAGGAGCAAUAGAUGGUACCCAUAUACCUGUAACUGUGCCAUUAGCUGAUCAACCAAAAUACAUUGGCCGGCAUGGGUAUCCUUCACAAAAUAUCAUGGCGGUAUGUGACUUUGAUAUGCGGUUCA